rnacentral:rRNA from 1 species
UCAGGCCUAACACAUGCAAGUCGAACGGUAACGCGGGGCAACCUGGUGACGAGUGGCGAACGGGUGAGUAAAGUAUCGGAACGUGCCCAGUAGUGGGGGAUAGCCCGGCGAAAGCCGGAUUAAUACCGCAUGAGACCUGAGGGUGAAAGCGGGGGAUCGCAAGACCUCGCGCUAUUGGAGCGGCCGAUAUCAGAUUAGGUAGUUGGUGGGGUAAAGGCCUACCAAGCCGACGAUCUGUAGCUGGUCUGAGAGGACGACCAGCCACACUGGGACUGAGACACGGCCCAGACUCCUACGGGAGGCAGCAGUGGGGAAUUUUGGACAAUGGGCGCAAGCCUGAUCCAGCCAUGCCGCGUGCGGGAAGAAGGCCUUCGGGUUGUAAACAAUGGUUGUCAGGGAAGAAAUCUUCUGGGUUAAUACCUCGGGAGG